UACGAAGGGGGCUAGCGUUGCUCGGAAUCACUGGGCGUAAAGAGCGCGCAGGCGGUCGUUCAAGUCGCGUGUGAAAGCCCCCGGCUCAACUGGGGAGGGUCACGCGAUACUGAUCGACUCGAAGGCAGGAGAGGGAAGUGGAAUUCCCGGUGUAGUGGUGAAAUGCGUAGAUAUCGGGAGGAACACCAGUGGCGAAGGCGACUUCCUGGCCUGUUCUUGACGCUGAGGCGCGAAAGCUAGGGGAGCGAACGGGG
rnacentral:rRNA from 1 species